rnacentral:rRNA from 1 species
ANACNAGNUANNGGNAGAAUUAANGGNGCGGGUUAAAUUNCNGGNGCCAGGCANNCAGGGGUAAAUACGGAAAGGUUACGGGANAGUUUAACCCGGGUUUUAAUUGNGGUUUUAAAGGGAACGNAAGGCCGGCCCCUUUAANNGUNUUGGUAGAANGGGGGUGUUNCNACAUCCAGANUUNGNAAGCUAGUAANGGNNGGGCUUUAGAGUGNGCGNANAUUAGGNGGAAUUUCNGUGGGUGUAGCGGUGAAAAGCUUAGANUAUCAANAAANANCUCNGAUUGAGAAAGCAGGCUUANUGUAGCGCAACUGACGUUGAAGCUAGAAAAGCGUGGGUAUCNAACAGAAUUAGAUACCNUGGUAGUCCACGCGGUAAACGAUGGAUGCUCAGUUGUCGGCCUUUGAGGCCGGUGACCAAGCGAAAAGCGUUAAGCAUCCCACCUGGGGAGUACGCCGGCAACGGUGAAACUCAAAGGAAUUGACGGGGGCCCACACAAGCGGAGGAACAUGUGGUUUAAUUCGAUGAUACGCGAGGAACCUUACCCGGGCUUGAACUGCGGCGGAACGAUUCAGAGAUGAUGAGGCCCUUCGGGGCGUCUGUGAAGGUGCUGCAUGGUUGUCGUCAGCUCGUGCCGUGAGGUGUCGGCUUAAGUGCCAUAACGAGCGCAACCCCUUUCUUCAGUUGCCAUCAGGUGAUGCUGGGCACUCUGUAGAUACUGCCACCGCAAGGUGUGAGGAAGGUGGGGAUGACGUCAAAUCAGCACGGCCCUUACGUCCGGGGCUACACACGUGUUACAAUGGCGCAUACAGAGAGUCGGUGGCAUGCGAAUGCCAUCCAAUCCUUAAAGUGCGUCUCAGUUCGGACUGGGGUCUGCAACCCGACCCCACGAAGCUGGAUUCGCUAGUAAUCGCGCAUCAGCCAUGGCGCGGUGAAUACGUUCCCGGGCCUUGUACACUCC